rnacentral:lncRNA from 1 species
AUUCGGCCGAAAACGGCCGAAAACAGCCAACCCGAGGCGACUCGCCGCCGCCAGCGGCGGCGCCGUCGCCGGAGCACGGCGGAGCCGCCGUGCCGGAGUUGUGAUUUGGGCCGAAAGAGGCCCUGGGCCUAAUUUGGAUUUUUUUUGGAACACGUGCAGGUACUGUUAGUGUGUUUCAGUUCCCCGGGAAAAAUUCAGGAAAAAUUAGGGACGGCCUGCAGGCGCACUGUGAAUCGUAUUCGGAUCCCGAAAACAAGUAAGGACCCUUCACCCUAUUUCCUAUCACGGUAUUAAAGUUCAAAAUGAUAAAACGGUAUUUCUUGAAUUAACGAAUGUGUGAAAUUGCUUAAGGUGGCUAAUGGAGCCCGAGUCUAGUGUGAUUGAUGAUUUACUGUUAUUUGGCCUGUUUACAGCUUUAAAUGCAAAAUGAGGUUUGAUGUG